GGGGCGAAAGACUCAUCGAACUAUCUAGUAGCUGGUUCCCUCCGAAGUUUCCCUCAGGAUAGCUGGAACAUGUACAGUUUUAUCAGGUAAAGCUAAUGAUUAGAGGUCCUGGAGUUGUAACAACUUUAACCUAUUCUCAAACUUUAAAUAGGUAAGAAGCUGGGCGAUGCUUGAGUGAUCCCCAGCCUCGAAUGGAAUGUUUCUAGUGGGCCUGUUUUGGUAAGCAGAACUGGCGAUGCGGGAUGAACCGGAAGCUCAGUUAAAGUGCCGGACUAUUCGCUCAACCAGAUCCUACAAAAGGUGUUAGUACAUACAGACAGCAGGACGGUGGUCAUGGAAGUCGAAAUCCGCUAAGGAGUGUGUAACUACUCACCUGCAUAAUGUACUAGCCCUGAAAAUGGAUGGCGCUGAAGCGAGUGACUUAGACUGGGCCAUUGCGCGUUACUUGAUUUGUACAAACGACACCGCAAUGUGUAGGAGGGCGUGGGGUUUUGCUCCGGUGACCGGAGAAGAGUGACGCAGCCCG
rnacentral:rRNA from 1 species